UUGAACGCUGGCGGCAGGCCUAACACAUGCAAGUCGAAUGGUAACAGGAAACAGCUUGCUGUUUCGCUGACGAGUGGCGGACGGGUGAGUAAUGUCUGGGAAACUGCCUGAUGGAGGGGGAUAACUACUGGAAACGGUAGCUAAUACCGCAUAACGUCGCAAGACCAAAGAGGGGGACCUUCGGGCCUCUUGCCAUCAGAUGUGCCCAGAUGGGAUUAGCUAGUAGGUGGGGUAACGGCUCACCUAGGCGACGAUCCCUAGCUGGUCUGAGAGGAUGACCAGCCACACUGGAACUGAGACACGGUCCAGACUCCUACGGGAGGCAGCAGUGGGGAAUAUUGCACAAUGGGCGCAAGCCUGAUGCAGCCAUGCCGCGUGUAUGAAGAAGGCCUUCGGGUUGUAAAGUACUUUCAGCGGGGAGGAAGGGAGUAAAGUUAAUACCUUUGCUCAUUGACGUUACCCGCAGAAGAAGCACCGGCUGACUCCGUG
rnacentral:rRNA from 1 species